CCUACGGGAGGCAGCAGUAAGGAAUCUUCCACAAUGGACGAAAGUCUGAUGGAGCAACGCCGCGUGCAGGAUGAAGGCUUUCGGGUCGUAAACUGCUUUUAUAUGGGAAGAUUAUGACGGUACCAUAUGAAUAAGGACCGGCUAACUACGUGCCAGCAGCCGCGGUAAUACGUAGGGUCCAAGCGAUAUCCGGAAUUACUGGGCGUAAAGCGUGUGUAGGUGGAUUAAUAAGUGUGAUGCGAAAUCCGGCGGCUCAACCGUUUGGACUGUGUCGCAUACUGUUAGUCUAGAGGACGGCAGAGGUAAGUGGAAUUACGGGUGUAGCAGUGAAAUGCGUAGAUAUCCGUAGGAACACCAAUGGCGAAGGCAGCUUACUGGGCCACACCUGACACUGAGACACGAAAGCGUGGGGAGCGAACAGGAUUAGAUACCUGGUAGUCCACGCCGUAAACGAUGCAUACUAUUAGUAUGGGGUAUCGACCCCUGUGCUGAGAAGCUAACGCGAUAAGUAUGCCGCCUGGGAGUACGAGCGCAGCUAAAACUCAAAGAAUUGAGG
rnacentral:rRNA from 1 species